rfam:Gorilla gorilla gorilla genomic chromosome, chr2B, whole genome shotgun sequence
GCCGGGUGCGGUGGCUCGCGCCUGUAAUCCCAGCACUUUGGGAGGCUGAGGUGGGUGGGUCACUUGAGGCCAGGAGUUUGAGAUCAGCCUGGCCAACAUAGUGAAACCCUGUCUCUA